AGGAAUAUAUUGCGAAAGCUAACUGUAUAUCAUUAUGCAGGAUCAACUUCGUUGAAUAAAAUUCUGGGCAAUCGUUAUCAUGAAACGGUUUACCCAUGUGUCUUGACUAAAUUGCGUGCCAGCAGUCGCGGUAAUACGUAGAAGACUAGUGUUAUUCAUCUUUAAUAGGUUUAAAGAGUACCUAGACGGUAAAUCGAGCCCUAGUCGGGACUAAUUUGCUAGAGUUACUUACGAGGGGGCUUUAAAGUACUAAUGGUGUAAAGAUAAAAUUUUGUAAUACCAUUUUUCGAAAGAAAAAUUAUGGCACUGGUAAAGGUGAAGGCAUCCCCCUAUGUGAUAACUGACGUUGAAGGACGAAGG
rnacentral:rRNA from 1 species